rnacentral:rRNA from 1 species
AGGAUGAUCCGCCACACUGGGACUGAGAAACGGCCCAGACUCCUACGGGAGGCAGCAGUGGGGAAUUUUGGACAAUGGGCGCAAGCCUGAUCCAGCCAUGCCGCGUGAGUGAAGAAGGCCUUCGGGUUGUAAAGCUCUUUCGGCCGGGAAGAAAUCGCAUGGGUCAAUACCCUGUGUGGAUGACGGUACCGGAAUAAGAAGCACCGGCUAACUACGUGCCAGCAGCCGCGGUAAUACGUAGGGUGCGAGCGUUAAUCGGAAUUACUGGGCGUAAAGCGUGCGCAGGCGGUUUGGUAAGUCAGAUGUGAAACGUCCCCGGGGCUCAACCUGGGAACUGCUAUUUGAGACUGCCAAGCUGGUAGUUUGGCAGAGGGGGGUGGAAUUCCACGUGUAGCAGUGAAAUGCGUAGAGAUGUGGAGGAACACCGAUGGCGAAGGCAGCCCCCUGGGCCAAUACUGACGCUCAUGC